rnacentral:misc_RNA from 1 species
UCUCGUCACCUUCUUGUUCAUCCUCAUCUUGUUGAUUCUCCGGUGAUUUUAACAGUAAUGGUUCCACAAUGCCUUUUUCAAGGGAAUCAGGUUCGGCCUUAGACUCUUGAGGAACAUUUUUUAUUUCAGUAUCACGCACAGGUUCUUUAAAAGAGAACCACAGCCAUAUCAAAUAAAUGAGCCAUGCAAUAGCCAUAAGCCAACCGGGCAAAGUUUCUUUAUUGACGGUUAUCUUGUAAAUCUUAAAAUUCGUCUGAAGUAAGCCAGCAACUGCAGGCCCACAUGCCAUUCCAAGCGCG